CCUACGGGAGACAGCAGUGAGGAAUAUUGGACAAUGGCCGGGAGGCUGAACCAGCCAAGUCGCGUGAGGGAAGACGGCCCUACGGGUUGUAAACCUCUUUUGUCAGGGAGCAAGUUGGAGGUCGGGACCGUCUGUGAGAGUACCUGAACAAAAAGCAACGGCUAACCUCGUUCCAGCAGCCGCGCUAAUCCGGAGGAUGCGAGCGUUAUGCGGUUUGAUUGGGUUUAAAGUGUGCGCAGGCGGAGGCACAAGUCAGCGGUAAAGUCGCGGGGCUCAACCCCGCUCCGCCGUUGAAACUGUGUCCCUUGAGUGCGCGAAGGGUAGGCGGAAUGCGUGGUGUAGCGGUGAAAUGCAUAGAUAUCACGCAGAACUCCGAUCGCGAAGGCAGCCUACCGGCGCGCAACUGACGCUCAUGCACGAAAGCGUGGGUAUCGAACAGGAUUAGAUACCCUAGUAGUC
rnacentral:rRNA from 1 species